rnacentral:rRNA from 1 species
CUGAGAGUACCUGAAGAAUAAGCACCGGCUAACUACGUGCCAGCAGCCGCGGUAAUACGUAGGGUGCAAGCGUUAAUCGGAAUUACUGGGCGUAAAGCGUGCGCAGGCGGACUUUUAAGCCAGAUGUGAAAGCCCCGAGCUUAACUUGGGAAUUGCGUUUGGAACUGGGAGUCUAGAGUCUGUCAGAGGGGGAUGGAAUUCCACGUGUAGCAGUGAAAUGCGUAGAGAUGUGGAGGAACACCGAUGGCGAAGGCAGUCCCCUGGGAUAAGACUGACGCUCAUGCACGAAAGCGUGGGGAGCAAACAGGAUUAGAUACCCUGGUAGUCCACGCCCUAAACGAUGUCUACUAGUUGUUGGGGUAGCAAUACCUCAGUGACGCAGCUAACGCGUGAAGUAGACCGCCUGGGGAGUACGGUCGCAAGAUUAAAACUCAAAGGAAUUGACGGGG